rnacentral:lncRNA from 1 species
AUAAGCAACUUACACCCUAAAUGGCAGUGAAUGAGGGGCUGCAACACAUGAGGAGGAUUUGCGAAUUGAGACAAUUCAUUCCUGGGAAUCACUGGUAAGACUACACCUUGUUCUAAAGAAGGAAGUUAUGGCAGUAAAAAAAGUGCAGAGGUGUCACGGCCCCCGGCUCGCCGCCAUGUGCGUCCGUGCCAGACCAGCACGACCGCACCAACUCACUGAGCUUACCUGCUCAGCGGCGAGCCGGGAACAGUUCCUCCACGCCGCUCGGGGGAAAUCCAAGAUGGCGCCGUCCAUGAGGUCGCGUCCAUCCAUGGCUCCACCCCCCGAAAUUAUACGAACAUGCGCGUGAUGUCACAACGUCAACACACACGCACGUUCUGGGGUCAGAGGUCAUCCUCUGACCAAUCAGGGCCUAGAGAGGGAUAUUUAAAUCCAUAAAUCACCCCAGUACCUUGCCCUGUCGUGGUUUCCUGUUCCUGGUUCCCUAGAGUGCGUUUAUCUUUGUUAAUAUUACUUCCUGGUAUCCUGAUCUUGGCUUUUCCCUGGUUAUUCCAAAUUCUGGUUCCCCUGACUUGGCUUGUUUAAACGGUAUCUGAGCAUUUCUGGCUUCCUUGACCUCAGCUUUCCCUUUGACCAUUCUCUAUCUCUAGCGUAUUAGUCAUUCUAAGGUCCGGUUUACACUCUGUCCUUUUAUUUCCUUUCCUUUUGUAUGUAUAUGUUUACAUAGUUUCUGCAUGUUGGACCACACUAGCAGCCAUGACAAGAGGUGAGCUAAAGAAAAGUUAACAAAUAUAAAUAUGUUUAGUUUGGAAAAAUGAUGGCUCAGAAAGGAUAUGACAGCAUUAUUUAAAUAUAUUCAGGGCCAAUACAAACGAAUAUCUGGAAAUCUAUUCAUAAACAGGACUAUACAUAGGACAAAAAGUAAUUAAUUUUUACUGGAAAAACUGAGAUUUAGUCUAAGACAUAGUCAUUUGACGAGAUCAUAGGAAUUCUAUAUAAACACUUGCCUAUUUUAAAGCUAGACCCUUGGCUUAACUUUAGUAUUCCUGACAAACCAAGGGUCACUUUUAGAAAGAGCAAAAAUCUGAAAAACAUCUUGGCUCCUUCCAAAUAUAGCCCUGAGGGCACUUUUGGGCCUAAGAAGGAACGUCUAGCAGGGAAUUUUAGAUGUGGGAGCCAUAGAUGUCUCACAUGUACAUAUGUGUCAUAAAACUACUCACUUUUGGUCUAUAAUGGGAGGAAAUUCAUUUCCCAUUAAUGAUAGGAUUACUUGUAACGCCUCUCUUGUUGUCUACCUUCUCACCUGCUACUGUGGCUUGCGAUAUGUUGGCCGAACUACAAGUGCUUUGAAAGUCAGGUUUUGGGAAAACAGAUAUGCCAUUUUACAUAAAGAUAAAAAAUCUUCGGUGGCACAACACUUUUCAUCUGUACACAAUAGUAAUCCCUUUGAGCUGUUAUGGGUAUUGAAUUAAUACCAAAAAUGAUUGAUGUUGCUAAAUGCAAAAGAGCCCUUAUAGGUGCUGAGUCUAAAUGGAUUUAUAAAUUAAAUACCUUAAGCCCCCAUGGGCUC